GGAAGCCGGUGAGACUCCGGCACAGUCGCGCUACUGUGACAUCGCCUCCGCGAGGGGUGCGGUGAAGUCAGGAAC
rnacentral:ncRNA from 2 species